UUCAGGCGUCGAGUGGCGGACGGGUGAGUAAUGCUUAGGAAUCUGCCCAGUAGUGGGGGAUAACACGGGGAAACUCGUGCUAAUACCGCAUACGCCCUACGGGGGAAAGCGGGGGAUCUUCGGACCUCGCGCUAUUGGAUGAGCCUAAGUCGGAUUAGCUUGUUGGUGGGGUAAUGGCCUACCAAGGCGACGAUCCGUAGCUGGUCUGAGAGGACGAUCAGCCACACUGGGACUGAGACACGGCCCAGACUCCUACGGGAGGCAGCAGUGGGGAAUAUUGGACAAUGGGGGAAACCCUGAUCCAGCAAUGCCGCGUGUGUGAAGAAGGCCUGCGGGUUGUAAAGCACUUUCAGUACAGAAGAAAAGCUUACCCUUAAUACGGGUGAGUCUUGACGUAACCUACAGAAGAAGCACCGGCUAACUCCGUGCCAGCAGCCGCGGUAAUACGGAGGGUGCGAGCGUUAAUCGGAAUUACUGGGCGUAAAGCGCGCGUAGGCGGUCUGGUCAGUCGGAUGUGAAAGCCCAGGGCUUAACCUUGGAAUUGCAUUCAAUACUGCCAAACUAGAAUGUUGGAGAGGGAAGUGGAAUUUCCGGUGUAGCGGUGAAAUGCGUAGAGAUCGGAAGGAACACCAAUGGCGAAGGCGGCUUCCUGGCCAAACAUUGACGCUGAGGUGCGAAAGCGUGGGUAGCGAACAGGAUUAUAUACCCUGGUACUCCAC
rnacentral:rRNA from 1 species